rnacentral:rRNA from 1 species
GACGAACGCUGGCGGCGUGCCUAAUACAUGCAAGUAGAACGCUGAAGGAGGAGCUUGCUCUUCUGGAUGAGUUGCGAACGGGUGAGUGACGCGUAGGUAACCUGCCUGGUAGCGGGGGAUAACUAUUGGAAACGAUAGCUAAUACCGCAUAACAGUAGAUGUUGCAUGACAUUUGCUUAAAAGGUGCAAUUGCAUCACUACCAGAUGGACCUGCGUUGUAUUAGCUAGUUGGUGGGGUAACGGCUCACCAAGGCGACGAUACAUAGCCGACCUGAGAGGGUGAUCGGCCACACUGGGACUGAGACACGGCCCAGACUCCUACGGGAGGCAGCAGUAGGGAAUCUUCGGCAAUGGACGGAAGUCUGACCGAGCAACGCCGCGUGAGUGAAGAAGGUUUUCGGAUCGUAAAGCUCUGUUGUAAGAGAAGAACGAGUGUGAGAGUGGAAAGUUCACACUGUGACGGUAUCUUACCAGAAAGGGACGGCUAACUACGUG